UAUUAUACUAAUGAAUAUUAUUAAAAUCUAAAUUAUUAAUAGAUAUGAUCUUUAAAUUUGAAGAAUUUGGCGGUAAUUUAGUCUUGUUAGAGGAACCUGUUUUUGAAUCGAUACACCACGUAGAAUCUUACUCAUCGUUAUAAAGCUUAUAUACCAUCAUUAGCAGAUAAUUUUUAAAGAAUUUAAUUAUUAAGAUUUAAAAAAAAUUAAUUAAAAUUAGAUCAAGGUGUAGCCUAUAGGUGAGUUAAAAUGGGUUACAAUAAAAUUUAUUUAAAACGGAGUAAGUGUAAGAGAGCUGGACCUUACAGAAGGAGGAUUUAAUUGUAAUAUAUGUUUAAUAAGCUAUAAAGAUAUAAGCUCUAAAUUAU
rnacentral:rRNA from 1 species